AUCAUUCGACAAGAUAGUGUGAUUACCACAUUCAGGGCUUCUGCUCUCGAUGGCUCUUCAGAGAGAAGGGCUCCUUCAGAGAGUGGUCCUGUGCAGCUACCAAUCCCCAGAACAAAAGGUAAACUUUCCUUAGGCCUGAUAUUUUUGUCGUGGCCGGUAAACUUGUUGUGAAAAGGUGCGAGUGCAGUUUAUAAAGAGUACUUGAGGAAGAAAGUCUCGUCUCUAACAUUCUUGCCUAGAACACUUUCUGCUGUCUUCCAAUGUUUCAUCCUUUACCUCUAGGUCAAGAGCUAGGGUUUUGAGAGUUGCAGGAUGCUUGAAAAGUACCGAUGUCCAAAUGCAAUAUUUGUUCUCGUAUGAGUGUCAUUUGUCGGUUUGAAUCUUGCGGUGCUUGUUUUCCAUCUCCAAGGUUUUGGCCUCCGCAAUUACACAGGGAAGGUAGGUUUCAAAUUCAAAAGAGAACUUGUUAUGGUUGUGACAAGCUGGGUCAUUUUGUAAGGGAUCGCCCAACGAAGAAAAGGAAGAAUGCUGCACUCUUCAAGCUAAAGAACCAACAAAAAUACUAUUAAACCAGCAACUUGUAAUAAUAUCUUGUGAAGUGCUUCUCAGUGAGAGUGAAUGAGUUGGCCUUGCACAGCUUUAUGUGGUCGUCUACAUGGGUGCUACUCCAGCAAACAUGUUGGGAAUUCUCACAAAGCAGCUGCUUCUGUGUACCUUGAAUUCUUGAAUCUGUAUAUGGAAGUAUUGGUGACAGCAAGGAGGGAGCUAAUGAAUGGUUAAGGUAUAGUUAUGGGAAGAGCUUUGGUGGGUUUGCAGCUAUGCUCUCUCCAUCGCAUGUCCAACAACUCUCAGAUAUGGAUGGAGUGGUUUGUGUUUGAGAGCAACUAGAUCAUGGGAUUUCAUUGGCUUUCUUGCAUCUGCUCAAACCGAUAAUUUGGAGUAUCAUAGCGACAUCAUCAUCGGUCUUUUGGACACAGGGAUAUCACAAAUAUCAGAGAGUUUUACCGAUGUGGGAUUUGGUCCUAUUCCCUCCAAAUGGAGAGGAGGCUGCCACACAACAUCAGACUUCCUUGCCUGCAACAAUGACUAUAUGCUAAGAGUUGGAAUUCAUCUGGCUUGUUGUGGUCAUGGUAUACAAAAUAAGUGUUUGAAGGUGAGCUAACUACAUCCUCACAAACUACCUUUCAUAUUAUAGUCAUUUCACAUCUCAGGUUUAACAAAUUUAAUAUCCAUACGAUGAUUUGUUUUGAUUAUUCUAAAAUCACUAAAACUUUGUGCUUCGCAAGAAAAUGGUAAUAUUAGAAACAUCAAUCUUUGAUGAGAAAGUUGAUUUGGGAAUUCAAUUUCCCUUGUACGAUGGCCGCAUUUCACUGUAUAUGGUUUUGCAUGGAGUAAGAUGAUUGAUAUAGAAUUACGUCAUAUUAUUAGUGGUAUAUUGACCUGCAUG